rnacentral:rRNA from 1 species
UCCGGGAAACCGGGGCUAAUACCGGAUGAAACAAAGCGUCGCAUGACGCAAUGUUAAAAGGCGGCAUAUGCUGUCACUUACAGAUGGGCCCGCGGCGCAUUAGCUAGUUGGUGAGGUAAAGGCUCACCAAGGCAACGAUGCGUAGCCGACCUGAGAGGGUGAUCGGCCACACUGGGACUGAGACACGGCCCAGACUCCUACGGGAGGCAGCAGUAGGGAAUCUUCCGCAAUGGACGAAAGUCUGACGGAGCAACGCCGCGUGAGUGAUGAAGGUUUUCGGAUCGUAAAACUCUGUUGUUAGGGAAGAACAAGUGCCAUUCAAAUAGGUUGGCACCUUGACGGUACCUAACCAGAAAGCCCCGGCUAACUACGUGCCAGCAGCCGCGGUAAUACGUAGGGGGCAAGCGUUGUCCGGAAUUAUUGGGCGUAAAGCGCGCGCAGGCGGUCCUUUAAGUCUGAUGUGAAAGCCCACGGCUUAACCGUGGAGGGCCAUUGGAAACUGGAGGACUUGAGUACAGAAGAGGAGAGUGGAAUUCCACGUGUAGCGGUGAAAUGCGUAGAGAUGUGGAGGAACACCAGUGGCGAAGGCGACUCUCUGGUCUGUAACUGACGCUGAGGUGCGAAAGCGUGGGUAGCGAACAGGAUUAGAUACCCUGGUAGUCCACGCCGUAAACGAUGAGUGCUAGGUGUUAGGGGGUUCCGCCCCUUAGUGCUGAAGUAACGCA